GAUGAACGCUAGCUACAGGCUUAACACAUGCAAGUCGAGGGGCAGCAUGGAAGAAGCUUGCUUCUUCUGAUGGCGACCGGCGCACGGGUGCGUAACGCGUAUCAAACCUGCCUCAUACUCGGGGAUAGCCUUGCGAAAGUAAGAUUAAUACCCGAUGUUGUUGCUUUCUCGCAUGGGAGGGUAACCAAAGAUUUAUCGGUAUGAGAUGGUGAUGCGUCCGAUUAGGUAGUAGGCGGGGUAACGGCCCACCUAGCCUUCGAUCGGUAGGGGUUCUGAGAGGAAGGUCCCCCACACUGGAACUGAGACACGGUCCAGACUCCUACGGGAGGCAGCAGUGAGGAAUAUUGGUCAAUGGGCGAGAGCCUGAACCAGCCAAGUAGCGUGCAGGAUGACGGCCCUCCGGGUUGUAAACUGCUUUUAGUUGGGAAUAAAAAAAGGGACUUGUCCCUUCUUGUAUGUACCUUCAGAAAAAGGACCGGCUAAUUCCGUGCCAGCAGCCGCGGUAAUACGGAAGGUCCAGGCGUUAUCCGGAUUUAUUGGGUUUAAAGGGAGCGUAGGCGGAUUGUUAAGUCAGCGGUUAAAGGGUGUGGCUCAACCAUGCAUUGCCGUUGAAACUGGCGAUCUUGAGUGCAGACAGGGAUGCCGGAAUUCGUGGUGUAGCGGUGAAAUGCUUAGAUAUCACGAAGAACUCCGAUCGCGAAGGCAGGUGUCCGGGCUGCAACUGACGCUGAGGCUCGAAAGUGUGGGUAUCAAACAGG
rnacentral:rRNA from 1 species